rnacentral:tRNA from 1 species
GCGCUUGUGGCGGAACUGGUAGACGCGCUAGGUUCAGGUCCUAGUGACUGCAAGGUCGUGGGGGUUCGACUCCCUCCAAGCGCACCA